rnacentral:rRNA from 1 species
GACGAACGCUGGCGGCGUGCUUAACACAUGCAAGUCGAACGGAAAGGCCCUGCUUUUGUGGGGUGCUCGAGUGGCGAACGGGUGAGUAACACGUGAGUAACCUGCCCUUGACUUUGGGAUAACUUCAGGAAACUGGGGCUAAUACCGGAUAGGAGCUCCUGCUGCAUGGUGGGGGUUGGAAAGUUUCGGCGGUUGGGGAUGGACUCGCGGCUUAUCAGCUUGUUGGUGGGGUAGUGGCUUACCAAGGCUUUGGCAGGUAGCCGGCCUGAGAGGGUGACCGGCCACAGUGGGACUGAGGUACGGGCCAGACUCCAAUGGGAGGCAACAGGGGGGAAUAUUGCACAAUGGGCGGAAGCCUGAUGCAGCAACGCUGGGUGCGGGAUGACGGCCUUCGGGUUGAAAACCGCUUUAGCCUGUGACGAAGCGGUAGUGACGGUAAUGAGUAAAGAAGCACCGGCUAACUACGUG